rnacentral:rRNA from 1 species
UUGUUCGUACCAAGAACCGACACAGGUGUCCCUAGGUGAGUAGCCUAAGGCGUGUUAGCAUAAUCGUGGCGAGGGAACUCGGCAAAUUAGCCCUGUAACUUCGGGAUAAGGGGUGCCAGUAGUGAGAGCUACUGGUCGCAGUGACAAGAGAACUCCGACUGUUUAAUAAAAACAUAGGUCUCUGCUAGUUCGAAAGGAUGUGUAUAGAGGCCGAAGCCUGCCCAGUGUCGGCAUCUGAAAUUCUGUUUCAACGGAUCGAAGGACCGAUAAACGGCGGGGGUAACUAUGACCCUCUUAAGGUAGCGUAAUACCUUGUCGCUUAAUUGGCGACUUGCAUGAAGGCUCAACGAGAGUUCUACUGUCCCCGCCAUGACGCUAGUGAAAACAAUCAGUCUGGUGCACAAUCCAGACCCCUCCAUCUGAAAGCGAAGACCCCAUGGAGUUUCACUGCAACCUGUUGUUGUUGUAAGAAUUGGCAUGUGUAGGGUAGGCGGGAGACGUUACCCAGGAAGGUGCGCUAGCAUCUCUCCGAGUCACCGAUGAAACACCGCCCUUGUCAAUUUUUACGACUCACCUCUCCGGAGGAACAGCUAUAGGCAGGCAGUUCGGGUGGGGCGCCACGCCCUCAAAAAGAUAACAAGGGCGCCCAAAGGUUAGCUCAGGUAGGUCAGAAAUCUACCGAAGAAUGUAAGGGUAUAAGCUAGCUUGACUCGGAACCAGACAAUAGGGUUCGGAGAUAGGAAACUAUGGCCUAGCGAACCAAUCAACCUCCUGAAUGGGGGUGAUUGAUGUCAGAAAAAUUACCCUGGGGAUAAUUGAGUUGUCACGAGCAAGAGUUCAUAUCGACCUCGUGGCUUGCUACUUCGCUGUCGGCUCUCCCUAUCCUGGUGGUGCAGCAGCUGCCAAGGGUGGGGUUGUUCGCCCAUUAAAAGGGAUCGUGAGCUGGGUUUAAAACGUCGCGAGACAGUUUUGUUGCUUUUUGAUGGAGGUGUUGGUACCUGAUGAGAAGGACCCUUUAGUACGAGAGGAACAGGGGUUCGUCGCCUCUAGUUUAUCAGUUGUCUGACAAGGCAAGCUGAGUAGCCACGCGGUAGUGGAUAAGAGCUGAAGGCAUCUAAGCUCGAAGCCAUCUUAAAAAAGAGGUACCCAUAGGACGCUCGUAAAUGACGAGUUUGAUAGAAGCCGGAUGUAAGUAUCGAGGGUUUCCGAGAUAUUCAGUCCUGGCUUACUAAAGUUCUUUGACGUC